rnacentral:rRNA from 1 species
CUGCCGGUGACAAACCGGAGGAAGGCAGGGAUGACGUCAAGUCAUCAUGGCCCUUACGUCCAGGGCUACACACGUGCUACAAUGGGUUGUACAGAGGGAAGAGAAGCCGCGAGGUAGAGCGGAACCCAGAAAGCAACUCGUAGUCCGGAUUGGAGUCUGCAACUCGACUCCAUGAAGUCGGAAUCGCUAGUAAUCGCGAAUCAGAAUGUCGCGGUGAAUACGUUCCCGGGCCUUGUACACACCGCCCGUCACACCAUGGGAGUGAAUUGCACCAGAAGUAGUUAGCUUAACCCGCAAGGGAGGGCGAUUACCACGGUGUGGUUUAUGACUGGGGUGAAGUCGUAACAAGGUAACCGUA